rnacentral:rRNA from 1 species
ACCGUACUCAAACCAACACAGGUGGGUGAGCCGAGAAGGCGUAGGCAAAGGUGAACCCCCGGGGAAGGAACUCGGCAAAAUGCAUGCGUGACUUCGGAGGAAGCAUGACUCUCUAUAUUCGGCUUUCGCUACAAAAGUGUCACUAAGGGUGUCACCAUGCGAGACUCCAUCCAUAUAUAGAAGAGUGACACAAAAUCGAGGGUGAGAACUGUUUAAUAAAAACACAGGACUCUGCAAAGUGAACACACUAAGUAUAGAGUCUGACACCUGCCCGGUGCCAGGAAAUAGACCACGUCGGGUGCGAGCUCGGUGGGUUAAAGACUGGUGAACGGCGGUCGUAACUCUGACGAUCCAAAGGUAGCGAAAUUCAUUGGCGGUUCAUUGCCGUCCUGCAUGAAUGGUGUCAUCAUUGCCCUACUGUCUCCCCCGGGGCGCCGGCGAAGUUGGUGUUCUCGUGAAGAGGCGAGAAAGUCGGCACGGGACGACAAGACCCCAUGCACCUUCACUGCACGUCGUUCACGCCCAUUCUGGCGACUCUGUUCAGCGUAGGUGGGAGCUUUAAAAAGCGACCUUGAGACACCACCCAGACGUCGUCGGGAGGGUCGCUCUCGGCGCCGCCAUUUCGGGGAUUUGGUGGGUUCGCAUUUAUGCGAACUCUGCACGACGAACGUCGUGCCGGAAAACGCCGAGAGAUCUGGGCGGCACGGCAGUUUCACUGGGGCGGUGGCCUCCAAAAACGUAUCGGGGGCGCGCCGAAGGUUAGAGUCCACCUCUCACGAGGUUUGGACAAGUGGCAAUCCAUACAUCUAGCUUGACUGUGAGAAUUUCUGUUCGAACAGGUACGAAAGUAGGCGAUAGUGACCCACGACGACUCUGUGGACGUCGUCGUGAUCAUCGGAUCAAAGGUACGCUGGGGAUAACAGAUUCAUAUACUCCAAGAGUUCAUAUCGACGAGUAUGUUUGAUACCUCGAUGUCGUCUCAUCGCGUCCUACGGCUGCAGUAGGUCGUAAGGGUUAGACUGUUCGUCUAUUAAAGCGGUACGUGAGAUGGGUUUAAACCGAGGCGACUCAGGUUGGAUCCUAUCUGUGUCGACCAUCACGGACUGAUGAACGGCCUAUUUGUACGAAAGGACCACAUAGGCCCCAACCUCUGGUGUAUGAGUUUAUAUGCGAAUAUAAUCGCUCAGUGGCUAAGUUGGCAGACAGUAUAGCUGAAAGCAUCUGAAGCAUGAAAGUCGUUCAUAGACCGGUCUCUAUGUUCGUGUAUAAAACACGUCGAUCGGCUCCGUGUGUCUCGUAGUGAUAUGGAGCACGGGAGUACGAAA